AUGUCCAUCCUCUCGCCACCUGACGCAGCAGCUGCUCCUCAAGGAGUCGCUCAUGGAGGCCGCGCGCAAGGAGGAGGACGGCGGCAGCCGUGGCGACGACAAGCUGCCGCAGGUGGUGUUCGACCGCAUCCUUCGGCGUCAGAUGGUGUACGACGCGCUCAAGCGCGGGGGCCGGGCGGAGGUGCCGUCGUGGGUCCAGCUGCUCACCAUCCUCCUUUCCUUCGGCACGUCGGCGCUCAUCCGGCAGCUCCCCACAGCCGCACAGAUCCGGCAGCUCCUCACCGCCACAGUUCCUCUUCCCGCAGCUCCUCCUACUCGAGCAGCUCCUCCGGCGGUAAAAACUGA
rnacentral:rRNA from 1 species